rnacentral:rRNA from 1 species
GACGAACGCUGGCGGCGCGCCUAACACAUGCAGGUCGAACGGAGCUGAGAGAAGCUUGCUUUUCUUAGCUUAGUGGCGCACGGGUGAGUAACGCGUGAGUAACCUGCCCUGGAGUGGGGGACAACAGUUGGAAACGACUGCUAAUACCGCAUAAGCCCACGAUCCGGCAUCGGAUUGAGGGAAAAGGAUUUAUUCGCUUCAGGAUGGACUCGCGUCCAAUUAGCUAGUUGGUGAGGUAACGGCCCACCAAGGCGACGAUUGGUAGCCGGACUGAGAGGUUGAACGGCCACAUUGGGACUGAGACACGGCCCAGACUCCUACGGGAGGCAGCAGUGGGGGAUAUUGCACAAUGGGGGAAACCCUGAUGCAGCGACGCCGCGUGGAGGAAGAAGGUUUUCGGAUUGUAAACUCCUGUCGUUAGGGACGAUAAUGACGGUACCUAACAAGAAAGCACCGGCUAACUACGUG